UAACGCGAAGAACCUUACCAGGUCUUGACAUCUUCUGAUAGCCUAAGAGAUUAGGUGUUCCCUUCGGGGACAGAAUGACAGGUGGUGCAUGGUUGUCGUCAGCUCGUGUCGUGAGAUGUUGGGUUAAGUCCCGCAACGAGCGCAACCCUUAUUGUCAGUUGCCAGCAUUAAGUUGGGCACUCUGGCAAGACUGCCGGUGACAAACUGGAGGAAGGUGGGGAUGACGUCAAAUCAUCAUGCCCCUUAUGACCUGGGUUACACACGUGCUACAAUGGACGAUACAACGAGUCGCUAGACCGCGAGGUUAAGCUAAUCUCUGAAAGUCGUUCUCAGUUCGGAUUGCAGGCUGCAACUCGCCUGCAUGAAGUCGGAAUCGCUAGUAAUCGCGGAUCAGC
rnacentral:rRNA from 1 species